GACGAACGCUGGCGGCGUGCCUAAUACAUGCAAGUCGAACGCAUUUUCUUUCACCGUAGCUUGCUACACCGAAAGAAAAUGAGUGGCGAACGGGUGAGUAACACGUGGGUAACCUGCCCAUCAGCGGGGGAUAACACUUGGAAACAGGUGCUAAUACCGCAUAAUUCCAUUUACUGCAUGGUAGAUGGAUGAAAGGCGCUUUUGCGUCACUGAUGGAUGGACCCGCGGUGCAUUAGCUAGUUGGUGGGGUAACGGCCUACCAAGGCUGCGAUGCAUAGCCGACCUGAGAGGGUGAUCGGCCACACUGGGACUGCGACACGGCCCAGACUCCUACGGGAGGCAGCAGUAGGGAAUCUUCGGCAAUGGACGCAAGUCUGACCGAGCAACGCCGCGUGAGUGAAGAAGGUUUUCGGAUCGUAAAACUCUGUUGUUAGAAAAGAACAAGGAUGAGAGUGGAAAGUUCAUCCCUUGACGGUAUCUAACCAGAAAGCCACGGCUAACUACGUG
rnacentral:rRNA from 1 species